GGCGAAGAUGAAGAGUGCUUUAUAAGUUCUGACACCUCUUGUAUGAGAAAAGCUUGUAAAAUCUUUUCUUUGAGCAGAGAUAGCAACUCUCUGAGCC
rnacentral:snoRNA from 2 species